UGGCUGGUACGCAUAUUUGGC
rnacentral:siRNA from 1 species